rnacentral:tRNA from 1 species
GCCCCCAUAGCUUACUCCAAAGCAUGGCACUGAAGAUGCCAAGACGGGACCUACUAUACCUGCGGGCA